AUCCGUAGUCCGCCCGAGCGUUAAAACCGCUCUCUCUCUCUCUCUCUCUCCUCUCUUGUUCAUAUGUAUAAUAUAAGCUUCCCGGCGGGCGAAUUCCAGAAAAACAAAAGAGAAAUAGGCAAACCCAAUUUCUUCUCUCUGUAUCUCUCUUUUGUAGCUCUAUUCUUCUCAAAAACCUCCAAACAUUCAUCAGAUAGAAAGAGAGAGAGUGAGAAAGCUCUCGUCUUCUCUCUUCAGAGAGAGAAACAGACUUUAUAUAUAUAUAUAGAGAGAGAGAGAGAGAGCAGAAGUUGAUGGCUACAGCGCCAGAGAGAUCGAGGCGUCUUCACAACUUCGCAUUGCCGCGAUUAAGAUGGGGCAACCAGCGACUCCUCCGAUGCAUGAAACACGUCAACAACACCAACCCCGACCCUCGCAAAUCGCCCCAAUCGGAUUUCUCCAAUGAAGUCAUCAAUCGCAGAUCUUCCGAGAGGGACAGCUUCAAGAGACCAUCGUCGUCGUCGUCGUCGUCACCGUUGAAGCCAAUUGCUGGUAGAAGAACCUGCCACACCAAUGGAAUCGAAGCUGUUCGCGAGAAGCUCAUGUUCGAUCUCAGAGUCGCCGCCGAUAAAUUGAAAGUCUCGUUUAUACAAGAAAAGGAGUUAGCGCCUCGGCCUUGGAAUUUGAGGACUCGGCGAUCGGCUUGCAAGCUUCCCAACGAGCCACAGAGUCCGAUGAGAGGUUUCGCUGUGCCUGUGCCUGUGCCUGUGCCUGCUGAGAGUGUAGAGAAGAGAGAUAAGAGAGCUAAAUUCUCGAUUUCGCUUUUGCGAGACGAGGUUGAGAGAGAUUUUAUGGCGAUUUCUGGUAUGAGACCGCCUCGGAGGCCCAAGAAAAGGCCUAAAUUACUUCAAAAACAUGUAGAUGCAAUUUUUCCGGGAUUGUGGUUGACGGAAAUAACACCAGAUACAUACAAAGUUCCUGAUUUCGCCGAAUCAGGGAAGGCGUUGAGAUGAUAUGAUAGCUUAGAUGGUUUUGUACGAGAUUAAGAUAUUCUGAUUGCAGACUUCUGGUGCAGUGUGAUCUAAAUUUAAUGAAUCAAAAUGUUUUUAGGCACACUCAUGACUCAACACAGCAUAUUGUAAAUGAUAUCUCAAACCAACUGCUGUGGUUCUAGGUUCUUGACUUAAUUAUGCGUUCAGACCAAUUCUGGAAGAGAACAACUUGAACAGGUUCA